ACAUGGUCACUGGCAGGCCUGAGCAACUGAGAACAACAAGAGAUGACCUCACAGCCUUCAUAUGCUAAUGCCAGCUCCCAAUUACUUGUACUGUUGAAUAAUUGAAAGAGGAGAAUAAUCCACUCAGCUGAUUUGGGAGGGGAGCCAGGCACACAGAUUAUCUCUGAGUGAAUUAUUCACAUGAGGGAUAAUUGGGAGUUGCCCAAACUUCUAUUUGUGGUUCAGGCAUCGUGUGGAAGAACAUUCAAGAUGGAAAGUAUGAACACAAGAAGAGAGAAGGAGACCCUGUUCUCGGGCCCAGACUCCCUGCCGUGUGGCUUGCCACAUUAGAGUCAAAAGACAGAACAAUGACUCAGGGAUGGGGACACACCAGGUGGAGAGGCCACAAGGGGGAGGUUCUCUCCAGAGUCCUUAGCUCAGCACAACACACUUGAGCUUUUGUCAAUGACCUCAAACCUGAAUGGUUUAAUGUCUACACCAGGGAGCAUCUCAGGGAUCCUGGAUUUGACUGCCAAAGGAAAGAAUUCCAACAGACAGGACAAAAGGAUGGAGGAUGACUGAGAUCCCUUAUGAUUCCCUCUGACCUGCCUGGUUAGCAAUUCAACAGGAAAACACCUCCCACGGCAAAAUGAAAGUAGACUUCAAGCCGCUUUCCUUCUGGCUGACUCCCAUGUAAAUGAGCUGCCUUGCAGCCUGACUCACAAGAGCUCAAAAUGGAAAAAAGAAAAGAAGAAGGAAAAAAAGCACAGUUUGAAGGUAAGGGUGAGGCUUGCCGAUCAGAUGGAGCUUCUUGGGGUUAUCCCAGCCUACUGCCAGACACUUGGUAUGGGCACCAGUGCCUGGAAGACAACUUGAGAAGCAAGUGGUAUCCUUCUUCAGACAGAAGAAACGUUGGGCACCUAGUCCUCUUGUUUUUCUAAGUAAAACAAGUAUUCAACUGUCAGCCAGAUGGCUGUAGAUGUGAAACUGUGACCUCUGUGACCUGACUCCUGAGUUCAGGAUUAGGUCCAUCCACCCUCAAGAUCAUGACCCCAGACACGACCCUAUGCCCAUGGCCAGACUGAGAGAGAGCAGAGGGCCAGGAGGGAACUUAGGCUUCUUGCCUCAGCUCCUGGUCCAGCAAGUAUAGCCAAGCUUUCUAGCUCCAAAGAUGAUGUCCUGCACUAACAGGCCCCCUGGAAAGGCACCAGGGCACCCGUCAUCCUAAUGGACUUGCUGGUUAAUGCAGCUGCAGUCCCCCACAGCACCAGGCCUUCUCCCUUCCCAUGCCCUGAACUGCAGGGUCCCCAGAGGCAGCAGCUACCCUGGGUGACCAUUUGAUCCAACCAUUAUAAAGAACACAUCUAUCUGUUCACUGUGGAGUAGGGGCAGUCAUUUCAGACCUAACCAAUAGGUCUUGCUGCAAAAAAAAAAAAAAAAGAAAAGAAAAAGAAAAAAAAAAAGGGUAAAAUUAAAAUUCCCUCUGCAAGAUCCCUGUCCUACAGGCCAGGAAAGCACUGCACAGUUGUGCCUCCUCCCAACCCCAAGCAGCACUCUGUGCCCCUUCCUCCCUCUUCCCUUUCUGGCUGGACAGCUCCAGAUGUGUCUCAGAGUUUCAAUGAUUCACUCUAAUGAUAACACACCCUCAGAAUAAAUCAUCGACUCUGAUUGAUUUAGGAGGCAACUUGCACAAAUACCUGUAAUCUAGUUCUAAUCUUGUUUGUUUCCAUUCCAAUUAUCCUGCAUCAAUGGUUUAAAAAUGGGAACCGUCUGGUGCAUACAUCCAAUCCAUUUUAAUAGAGGAUAAAUCUGGGUUAUUGUGACCCUUUCCUCUCUCAGGCUCAGGACAGCACCAGCCGCCUCAAGACGCUGAUUGGGCCGAAUCAGCUCUAACUCUAUUCAACUCUUCAAGGAUUCAAUUAAUCAUAAAGCCAAUUCCAUUCUGGGCUCCAUCUGUCUUGCCUCCUUCGGGGACUAAUAAUCACUCACUGUGUGUUUUUACACACUAGUUGAACUGAAAUUAAGACUGAUUUCAUCAUGGAGCACUCAAGAAGAAAAUGCAUUUCUUGGAGAAAAAUUUCAGAGCUAAUUCUAUGUUCAGUUGGGUUAAAGAUAUUAUUAAAUAAACAAAAGGACAUUUUUUUUUUAAACUUCCAAAUUCCUGACAUGGUAAAAUAAUUUCUGCCACUCAAAUCCCAGAAAGGGACAGCUCCUCAGGAGAACUAGAAUCUCUCAAUGUCAGAUCACGAAACAGACACUCAAUCUGUCUUUGGGCAUCUGCAAGGCAUGGG